rnacentral:rRNA from 1 species
CCAGACUCCUACGGGAGGCAGCAGUGGGGGAUAUUGCACAAUGGGGGAAACCCUGAUGCAGCGACGCCGCGUGUGGGAAGACGGUCCUCUGGAUUGUAAACCACUGUCCCCAGGGACGAAGAUGACGGUACCUGGGGAGGAAGCCCCGGCUAACUACGUGCCAGCAGCCGCGGUAAUACGUAGGGGGCGAGCGUUAUCCGGAUUCACUGGGUGUAAAGGGAGCGUAGACGGCCAAGCAAGCCAGGGGUGAAAGCCCGGGGCCCAACCCCGGGACUGCCCUUGGAACUGCGCGGCUGGAGUGCAGGAGGGGCAGGCGGAAUUCCUGGUGUAGCGGUGAAAUGCGUAGAUAUUAGGAGGAACACCAGUGGCGAAGGCGGCCUGCUGGACAUUAACUGACGCUGAGGCGCGAAAGCGUGGGGAGCAAACAGGAUUAGAUACCCUCGUA